AAAACUAGAACACCACCUCCCAUUUCAUUUGCAACAUUUAACCAAAGAAAACAUUUUCUUUCUCUCCCUCUCCUCCCUUGUUUACGGCUCAACAUCACCAUCAUCAUCUACCCAUUUUUAAAAUCCAAACAAGUGUUUUAAGGGUAUUCAAGAGCAUUUCAAGGUGAUCUAAGGUGGUUACAAGCAUAAGGGAUCAUCAAGGAUACUAGCUUGCAAGGAUUGGAGCUUUCUUUUCUUCAUAUUCUUCAAAAGUUCUUCCAUAGCCUUGUGCUAGUUAGUUUUAUACCCAUUUCAUGAUGUUUAGUCUUGGAAAUAAGAAACAUUGCAUGGUUAGGAAGUCAAGGACAAGAGUUACAAGAACGAUGCCUUUUGGAGGGUUUGCCUCAUAUAUCCCGCCCUCAUGUGGAAUAUAGGUGUCAAAGCCUCGUUUAAAAUAUCUAUAUUUUGGUUAAGACCAUUUUAUGAACAUGAAGUACUCGGUUUAUAUUUGUGAACAAAACACUUUGAUCUUGUAUUUUUAACUCAAGUAAUAUAUAUUUGGCAUCUUGUUUAUUUUUAAU
rnacentral:lncRNA from 1 species